rnacentral:rRNA from 1 species
GGUAGCCGGCCUGAGAGGGCGACCGGCCACACUGGGACUGARACACGGNCCANACUCCUACNRGAGGCAGCAGUGGGGAAUAUUGCGCAAUGGGCGAAAGCCUGACGCAGCAACGCCGCGUGAGGGAUGACGGCCUUCGGGUUGUAAACCUCUUUCAGCAGGGACGAAGCGAAAGUGACUGUACCUGCAGAAGAAGCGCCGGCUAACUACGUGCCAGCAGCCGCGGUAAUACGUAGGGCGCAAGCGUUGUCCGGAUUUAUUGGGCGUAAAGAGUUCGUAGGCGGUCUGUCGCGUCGGAAGUGAAAACCCGGAGCUCAACUCCGGGCCUGCUUUCGAUACGGGCAGACUUGAGUGUUGCAGGGGAG